GACGAACGCUGGCGGCGUGCUUAACACAUGCAAGUCGAACGGAAAGGCCCUGCUUGCAGGGUACUCGAGUGGCGAACGGGUGAGUAACACGUGGGUGAUCUGCCCUGCACUUCGGGAUAAGCUUGGGAAACUGGGUCUAAUACCGGAUAGGAGCCAUCUUUAGUGUGGUGGUUGGAAAGUUUUUUCGGUGUAGGAUGAGCUCGCGGCCUAUCAGCUUGUUGGUGGGGUAAUGGCCUACCAAGGCGGCGACGGGUAGCCGGCCUGAGAGGGUGUACGGCCACAUUGGGACUGAGAUACGGCCCAGACUCCUACGGGAGGCAGCAGUGGGGAAUAUUGCACAAUGGGCGCAAGCCUGAUGCAGCGACGCCGCGUGGGGGAUGAAGGCCUUCGGGUUGUAAACUCCUUUCGCUAGGGACGAAGCUUUGUUGUGACGGUACCUAGAUAAGAAGCACCCUAACUACGUG
rnacentral:rRNA from 1 species